rnacentral:rRNA from 1 species
CGAACGAUGAUCAGGAGCUUGCUCCUGUGAUUAGUGGCGAACGGGUGAGUAACACGUGAGUAACCUGCCCCUGACUCUGGGAUAAGCGUUGGAAACGACGUCUAAUACUGGAUAUGAUCACUGGUCGCAUGGCCUGGUGGUGGAAAGAUUUUUUGGUUGGGGAUGGACUCGCGGCCUAUCAGCUUGUUGGUGAGGUAAUGGCUCACCAAGGCGACGACGGGUAGCCGGCCUGAGAGGGUGACCGGCCACACUGGGACUGAGACACGGCCCAGACUCCUACGGGAGGCAGCAGUGGGGAAUAUUGCACAAUGGGCGAAAGCCUGAUGCAGCAACGCCGCGUGAGGGAUGACGGCCUUCGGGUUGUAAACCUCUUUUAGUAGGGAAGAAGCGAAAGUGACGGUACCUGCAGAAAAAGCACCGGCUAACUACGUGCCAGCAGCCGCGGUAAUACGUAGGGUGCAAGCGUUGUCCGGAAUUAUUGGGCGUAAAGAGCUCGUAGGCGGUUUGUCGCGUCUGCUGUGAAAUCCCGAGGCUCAACCUCGGGCUUGCAGUGGGUACGGGCAGACUAGAGUGCGGUAGGGGAGAUUGGAAUUCCUGGUGUAGCGGUGGAAUGCGCAGAUAUCAGGAGGAACACCGAUGGCGAAGGCAGAUCUCUGGGCCGUAACUGACGCUGAGGAGC